rnacentral:rRNA from 1 species
GGUACAACAGUUGGAAACGACUGCUAAUACCGCAUAAGCCCACGGGUCGGCAUCGACCUGAGGGAAAAGGAGUGAUCCGCUUUGAGAUGGCCUCGCGUCCGAUUAGCUAGUUGGUGAGGUAACGGCCCACCAAGGCAACGAUCGGUAGCCGGACUGAGAGGUUGAACGGCCACAUUGGGACUGAGACACGGCCCAGACUCCCACGGGAGGCAGCAGUGGGGAAUAUUGCACAAUGGGGGAAACCCUGAUGCAGCGACGCCGCGUGGAGGAAGAAGGUCUUCGGAUUGUAAACUCCUGUUGUUGAGGAAGAUAAUGACGGUACUCAACAAGGAAGUGACGGCUAACUACGUGCCAGCAGCCGCGGUAAAACGUAGGUCACAAGCGUUGUCCGGAAUUACUGGGUGUAAAGGGAGCGCAGGCGGGAAGACAAGUUGGAAGUGAAAUCUAUGGGCUCAACCCAUAAACUGCUUUCAAAACUGUUUUUCUUGAGUAGUGCAGAGGUAGGCGGAAUUCCCGGUGUAGCGGUGGAAUGCGUAGAUAUCGGGAGGAACACCAGUGGCGAAGGCGGCCUACUGGGCACCAACUGACGCUGAGGCUCGGAAGUGUGGGUAGCAAACAGGAUUAGAUACCCUGGUAGUCCACACCGUAA